rnacentral:rRNA from 1 species
AGGAUGAACGCUGGCGGUGCGCCUAACACAUGUAAGUCGUGCGAUCGAGCCGAACUGAGUCUCCUUCGGGAGAUGAUGAUUGGUGACGGAGCGGCGGACGGGUGGGUAACGCGUGGCUAACCUACCCUCUUGACGGGGACAACCACCCGAAAGGGCGGCUAAUACCCGAUAUUGUCUGGAGUCGAUGGACUCCUUUCCAAAGGCGGUCCUGCCGCCGCAAGGGGAUGGGGCUGCGUCCUAUUAGCUAGUUGGUGAGGUAACGGCCCACCAAGGCUUCGAUGGGUAGCUGGUCUGAGAGGACGGCCAGCCACAUUGGGACUGAGAUACGGCCCAGACUCCUACGGGAGGCAGCAGUGGGGAAUCUUGGCCAAUGGACGAAAGUCUGAGCCAGCGACACCGCGUGGGGGAUGACGGCCUUCGGGUUGUAAACCUCUUUUCUGGGGAAAGAAUAAGGACGGGAGGAAAUGCCCGCCCGAUGACGGUACUCCAGGAAUAAGCAUCGGCUAACUCUGUGCCAGCAGCCGCGGUAAGACAGAGGAUGCGAGCGUUAUCCGGAAUUACUGGGCGUAAAGGGCGUCUAGGCGGUUCGGUAAGUCGUUUGUGAAAUCCCUCGGCUCAACCGAGGAGAGUUUUGCGAUACUGCCGGGCUUGGGUGCAGGAGAGGAGGGUGGAACUCACAGAGUAGCGGUGGAAUGCGUAGAUACUGUGAGGUACCCCGAUGGCGAAGGCAACCCUCUGGCCUGCUACCGACGCUGAAGCGCGAAAGCGUGGGGAGCAAAGGGGAUUAGAUACCCCCGUAGUCCACGCCCUAAACAAUGUUCACUUGGUGUCGGCCGCUCAUACUGGUCGGUGCCGAAGCUAACGCGUUAAGUGAACCGCCUGAGGAGUACGGCCGCAAGGCUAAAACUCAAGAGAAUUGACGGGUCCCUGCACAAGCGGUGGAGCACGUGGUUUAAUUCGAUGAUAAACGAAGAACCUCACCCAGGCUUGACAUACUAGUGGUAGGAACCUGAAAGGGGGACGACCCUGCCUUCGGGUAGGGAGCUAGUACAGGUGAUGCAUGGCUGUCGUCAGCUCGUGUCGUGGGAUGUUGGGUUCAGUCCCGAAACGAGCGCAACCCUUGUCGUUAGUUGCCAGCGGGUAAUGCCGGGGACUCUAACGAGACUGCUGGUGAAUAGCCGGAGGAAGGCGGGGAUGACGUCAAGUCAUCAUGUCCCUUAUGCCUGGGGCGACACACAUGCUACAAUGGGGGGUACAGAGGGUCGCAAUCCCGUAAGGGGGAGCCGAUCCAUAAAAGCCCCUCCAGUUCGGAUUGAGGCCUGCAACUCGACCUCAUGAAGCCGGAAUCGCUAGUAAUCGCGGGUCAGCCAUACCGCGGUGAAUAUGUACUCAGGGAUUGUACACACCGCCCGUCACACCAACCGAGUGGGGGGUACCUGAAGUCGCUCUUCUAAGGGCGCCUAAGGUAACUUCCGCAAGAGGGGUGAAGUCGUAACAAGGUA